UGGAGGCAGCAGUGAGGAAUAUUGGUCAAUGGGGGCAACCCUGAACCAGCCAUGCCGCGUGAAGGAAGACGGCCCUAAGGGUUGUAAACUUCUUUUGUACGGGGGUAAUUGUAGAUACGUGUAUUUACUUGAAAGUACUGUACGAAUAAGCAUCGGCUAACUCCGUGCCAGCAGCCGCGGUAAUACGGAGGAUGCGAGCGUUAUCCGGAUUUAUUGGGUUUAAAGGGUGCGUAGGCGGGCUUGUAAGUCAGCGGUGAAAGACUGUCGCUCAACGAUAGCAUUGCCGUUGAUACUGUAGGCCUUGAGUACACUUGAGGUAGGCGGAAUGUGUAGUGUAGCGGUGAAAUGCUUAGAUAUUACACAGAACACCAAUUGCGAAGGCAGCUUACUAAAUUGUAACUGACGCUGAGGCACGAAAGCGUGGGGAUCAAACAGGAUUAGAUACCCUGGUAGC
rnacentral:rRNA from 1 species